rnacentral:lncRNA from 1 species
AUGAAGGUAGGGAGGAUCUUGUAGUGUGAAGAGUGGCCUGCACUUGCAGGGCCAUUUUGAUUUCUGGUUGAACUUUCUUCUACUCUGGUUGGUUCUGAGUCGAGGAAGUAAGAAGAAGAAGAAUGAAUGAAUGGAGGAGAUAAGAGAAUAGUUGAGUUGUGGAAAGUUCUGGUGAUUGAGUGUGUAAGGUGAGGGUCUCAUUGGUUUCAAUCCUACGUGGAAAGCGUGGCAUCCAUACUCCCCACACAUACAACUCUUUUUCCACUUUCAUAUUUUACAUCAUUUUUCUAAUUAUUAGUAUUUCUCACUUUCUU